UCUUUUUUGCCGUCCGGCGAUCCCAUUAGAACUCCGAAGUAAAGCGUGCUUGGGCGAGAGUAGUUCUAGGAUGGGUGACCUCCUGGGAUGACCACGU
rfam:Oryza punctata chromosome 11, whole genome shotgun sequence.